rnacentral:rRNA from 1 species
AUUGAACGCUGGCGGCAGGCCUAACACAUGCAAGUCGAACGAGUGGCGGACGGGUGAGUAAUUUCUGGGCAACUGCCUGAUGUAGGGGGCUAACUACUGGAAACGAUAGCUAAUACCGCCUACCCUCAGCUGUGCCCAGAUUGGCUUAGCUAGUUGGUGGGGUAACUGAUCACCAAGGCGACGAUCCCUAGCUUGUCUGAGAGGAUGACCAGCCACACUGGAACUGAGACACGGCCCAGACUCCUACGGGAGGCAGCAGUUGGGAAUAUUCGACAAUGGGCGCAAGCCUGAUGCAGCAAUGCCGCGUGUAUGAAGAAGGCUUUCGGGUUGUAAAGUACUUUUAGCGGGGAGGCGUUACCUGAAGAAGAAGCAACGGCUAACUCCGUGCCAGCAGCCGCGGUAAUAC